GGAAGCAGAUAGCGGAAGUGUUGCAAGUCAAAAAGGAGACAUUAGAGCCACGCAGAGCAUUAUUGACCCUGAAGAAGUAAACCCGAGAGAGGGAAGGAGAUCACGGGAAUGAAGAGCUUCUGGGGUUGAAGGUGGAGGCCAGGGCCAAUGGAAACAAAGAAGGGUGAGAGAAAGGGAAAUGGGAACAUUUUGAGGAGAAAGGAAAGAUCUGAAAAUGUGUUGAUAAGUAGAGGACAAGUGGAGACUGGGUUCUUGGAGAAGAGCCGUGACUUGUAGGGAAAUGUUUGAGAAGGGGAUUUGGGACGGGCUAGAAGAUUGCGUUUAAUGUGUGAUUGGGUUUACGAGAUCCAGAAGAAUGCGUCGUGAGAAAAAUGGAAAAUUACGGAAGGACAAAGGAUAGGUAAUGGAGGUUGUGAAGGAAGAAGCAAGCUGGAGCGAGCAAAGAAAACUUCUCAAAGAGGAUCCUGAAGAAGAAUGAGGGGCUCCAAAGUGACCAAGGCAAGAGCAAAGAAAAUGAGGGAAGGAAAAAAAAAAAUCUCUGCCUUCCCAAGAUCAUCUGCUCCUAGCCUCGUCUGGUGAUUCUCUGAGCACCGACCGAGAAGUUGUUGCCUCUCUUAAAGGAGGCCCACACAGGCACGAGAUGCAUUCCACUGAGGCCACAGAAAGGAAAAGGAUUGAGACACCACGACAAACGGAAGCCACCUUCUCUGACCAGAGGACUCCACUUCCAUCCUCGACGAGGCCAUCUCCCUGGGCCCCGGGCAGCUCUCCUGUCGGAAUCUCACCUUCUCAUCAGCUCUUACUGGCACCUGGGGAGGGGUUAGAACCUGCCUGUGGUGCUGCUGAGGACAAAGCAAGCAUCCAGAUUGCUGACGGAAAUAGAGAGACCCUCUGCCCACCCCACGGCCCACACCUCUUCCCUUCUGGAGUCUGGAGAUCAUCAUGGGCCCUCGAACUGGGACUGCCUGGCCUGAUACUGCUACGGAAGGGCUCAUCUGAGAGGUGUCCCACCCUUGAGUUCUUCAAAGGAGUGGGAGAGAAACACCGAGGUGCUCUUUUCCCACCUCCUGGAACAUCACGUCAAAGGCCCACGCCUGGCAGCCGCCCCCUCCUCGUUGUCCAUCUAGCAGGGAAGGGACAGGAUGGAAGAACACUGAACUGGGACUCAGGGACCAGGUCCCCAGAGUGAUCGUGUCUCCGCAAGCGAUCUUGG
rnacentral:lncRNA from 1 species